rnacentral:rRNA from 1 species
AUUGAACGCUGGCGGCAUGCCUUACACAUGCAAGUCGAACGGCAGCAUAGGAGCUUGCUCCUGAUGGCGAGUGGCGAACGGGUGAGUAAUAUAUCGGAACGUGCCCUAGAGUGGGGGAUAACUAGUCGAAAGACUAGCUAAUACCGCAUACGAUCUACGGAUGAAAGUGGGGGAUCGCAAGACCUCAUGCUCCUGGAGCGGCCGAUAUCUGAUUAGCUAGUUGGUGGGGUAAAAGCCUACCAAGGCGACGAUCGGUAGCUGGUCUGAGUGGACGACCAGCCACACUGGGACUGAGACACGGCCCAGACUCCUACGGGAGGCAGCAGUGGGGAAUUUUGGACAAUGGGGGCAACCCUGAUCCAGCAAUGCCGUGUGAGUGAAGAAGGCCUUCGGGUUGUAAAGCUCUUUUGUCAGGGAAGAAACGGUAGUAGCUAAUAUCUAUUACUAAUGACGGUACCUGAAGAAUAAGCACCGGCUAACUACGUGCCAGCAGCCGCUGUAA